rnacentral:rRNA from 1 species
AUUGAACGCUGGCGGCAUGCCUUACACAUGCAAGUCGAACGGCAGCACGGACUUCGGUCUGGUGGCGAGUGGCGAACGGGUGAGUAAUGUAUCGGAACGUACCUUUCAGUGGGGGAUAACGUAGCGAAAGUUACGCUAAUACCGCAUAUUCUGUGAGCAGGAAAGCAGGGGAUCGAAAGACCUUGCGCUGAUUGAGCGGCCGAUAUCAGAUUAGCUAGUUGGUGGGGUAAAGGCCUACCAAGGCGACGAUCUGUAGCGGGUCUGAGAGGAUGAUCCGCCACACUGGAACUGAGACACGGUCCAGACUCCUACGGGAGGCAGCAGUGGGGAAUUUUGGACAAAGGGGGCAACCCUGAUCCAGCCAUGCCGCGUGAGUGAAGAAGGCCUUCGGGUUGUAAAGCUCUUUCGGCCGGGAAGAAAUCGCAUAGGCUAAUACCCUGUGUGGAUGACGGUACCGGAAGAAGAAGCACCGGCUAACUACGUG